CCUACGGGAGGCAGCAGUGGGGAAUAUUGCACAAUGGGCGCAAGCCUGAUGCAGCAACGCCGCGUGAGGGACGACGGCCUUCGGGUUGUAAACCUCUUUUAGUAGGGAAGAAGCGAAAGUGACGGUACCUGCAGAAAAAGCACCGGCUAACUACGUGCCAGCAGCCGCGGUAAUACGUAGGGUGCAAGCGUUAUCCGGAAUUAUUGGGCGUAAAGAGCUCGUAGGCGGUUUGUCACGUCUGCUGUGAAAACUGGAGGCUCAACCUCCAGCCUGCAGUGGGUACGGGCAGACUAGAGUGCGGUAGGGGAGAUUGGAAUUCCUGGUGUAGCGGUGGAAUGCGCAGAUAUCAGGAGGAACACCGAUGGCGAAGGCAGAUCUCUGGGCCGUAACUGACGCUGAGGAGCGAAAGCAUGGGGAGCGAACAGGAUUAGAUACCCUGGUAGUCCAUGCCGUAAACGUUGGGAACUAGAUGUAGGGACCAUUCCACGGUUUCUGUGUCGCAGCUAACGCAUUAAGUUCCCCGCUGGGGNGACGCGCGAGACGAACGUAACGUAAGAAGUUAGAGUCGUUGAGACGNGCGACGGACGACGACGAGGAGGAGG
rnacentral:rRNA from 1 species